rnacentral:rRNA from 1 species
GGUUGAUCCUGCCAGUAGUCAUAUGCUUGUCUCAAAGAUUAAGCCAUGCAUGUCUAAGUAUAAACUACUUUAUACAGUGAAACUGCGAAUGGCUCAUUAAAUCAGUUAUAGUUUAUUUGAUGAUACAAUACUACAUGGAUAACCGUGGUAAUUCUAGGGCUAAUACAUGCACAAGAGCCCGACUUGCAAAGGAAGGGCUGUAUUUAUUAGAUAAAAAACCAACCCGGGCAACCGGAACUUUUGGUGAAUCAUGGUAACUUUUGGAAUCGCAUGACUCUGAUGUCGGCGAUGG